rnacentral:rRNA from 1 species
GGGGAAAAGCUCAAAUUUUAAAUCUGCUAGGUUUUACCUGUCAGAAUUGUAAUUUGAAGAAGCGUUUUCCGCGUCUCGGUUGGCCCAAAUCCUUUGGGAUGAGGUAUCAUGGAGGGUGAGAAUCCCGU